UACGUAGGAGGCAAGCGUUAUCCGGAAUGACUGGGCGUAAAGGGUGCGUAGGUGGGCUGGUAAGUUGGUAGCGUAAUCCCGGGGCUCAACUUCGGUGCUACUACCAAAACUGCUGGACUUGAGUGCAGGAGGGGCAUAUGGAAUUCCUAGUGUAGCGGUGGAAUGCGUAGAUAUUAGGAGGAACACCAGUGGCGAAGGCGAUAUGCUGGACUGUAACUGACACUGAGGCACGAAAGCGUGGGGAGCAAACAGG
rnacentral:rRNA from 1 species